rnacentral:rRNA from 1 species
UACGAAGGGGGCUAGCGUUGCUCGGAAUCACUGGGCGUAAAGGGUGCGUAGGCGGGUCUUUAAGUCAGGGGUGAAAUCCUGGAGCUCAACUCCAGAACUGCCUUUGAUACUGAAGAUCUUGAGUUCGGGAGAGGUGAGUGGAACUGCGAGUGUAGAGGUGAAAUUCGUAGAUAUUCGCAAGAACACCAGUGGCGAAGGCGGCUCACUGGCCCGAGUACUGACGCUGAGGCACGAAAGCGUGGGGAGC